GAUGAACGCUGGCGGCGUGCCUAAUACAUGCAAGUCGAGCGAACAGACGAGGAGCUUGCUCCUCUGACGUUAGCGGCGGACGGGUGAGUAACACGUGGAUAACCUACCUAUAAGACUGGGAUAACUUCGGGAAACCGGAGCUAAUACCGGAUAAUAUAUUGAACCGCAUGGUUCAAUAGUGAAAGACGGUUUUGCUGUCACUUAUAGAUGGAUCCGCGCCGCAUUAGCUAGUUGGUAAGGUAACGGCUUACCAAGGCAACGAUGCGUAGCCGACCUGAGAGGGUGAUCGGCCACACUGGAACUGAGACACGGUCCAGACUCCUACGGGAGGCCGCAGUAGGGAAUCUUCCGCAAUGGGCGAAAGCCUGACGGAGCCACGCCGCGUGAGUGAUGAAGGUCUUCGGAUCGUAAAACUCUGUUAUUAGGGAAGAACAAAUGUGUAAGUAACUAUGCACGUCUUGACGGUACCUAAUCAGAAAGCCACGGCUAACUACGUG
rnacentral:rRNA from 1 species